rnacentral:tRNA from 1 species
GCAUUAAUGGGGUAGUGGUAACCUGGGUCGUUGCCAUUUACGAUGUUCGACCCGCCGGGGGUUCAAUUCCCUCUUAAUGCA